GGAGGAGGAGAGUGGGGGUAAGACAGCCUGCAGGGAAAGCCAGCCCUCGUUGAUACUGGUUCCCAGCAGGAUCAGCCCCAAAAACACAGAGGCACAACCCUGGCCAUAAGCAGGGCAGCACGGAGCAAGGUGGACUCCCAUGUCCCUGACCCACAUCAGCUCCCACCACAAGGGCCACCUCAACUGGAGCAUCAGGGUCAGUGUGGCUACGAGGAGAAUGCCACAGGCUGAGAAGGGCCCCAGAGCACCCCAUGAACCCCAGAGAUGGGGACACCAGCACAGAUGUUGUCAGCUUUCCCUGGAUCCAGGGUGGUGCAGUGGUCUCAGGCUUCUCAGCAAGGGGAGGUCCCCAAAUCUACAGGAUGCUCUAGAGCCUAAAGAGGACUAAUGCUCUGUCACGAGGGGACAGCAACACAUCUUGCCAGCCUUGUGCAAACACACGGUGAAGCAGAUACACCCCAAGGAGGUGGCAGUGCCCCUCUGAACCUGGGGACACCAAGCCCAGCGACGUGUGGCCACACACCAGCUGCCCCCCCAGCACGAUGUGCAGCACCGAGCCUGGCUCCCCAGCAAGGUCACCAGCGUGCUCAUUUAUCCACUGACAUUUCAAUGGGGGAAAUUGCCUGUGAAGAUGAGGUGAAUACGUGGGGGAAUUGGUGGGAGAGGUGACAGCAGCAGGCUGACUGGAGCCAGCAGGGACAUCACCCACCCUGCCAGGACACUGAGCUACAAUGUGCCGGCUGUGGGGUGGCCAUGGCAAAACAGGGAUGGGGACAGCGGCUCCCAGCGAGCCUUGAUGUGUCUGUACAGCCCGUGCUGCUGGGCAGCUCUGGCAUUUCAGUGUCAUCACAGCAGGGACAUCAGUCAAGGGCUCAGCUGGGGACAGAGGAGCAGGGGCUGAACAGACAUUCCUCAUCUGCCAAGAACAGAGAAGGAAGUGGUUGUGGUUGUAACAUCACAGCCCUCAAACCAUCACCUGUGAUCUCCUAAUGCUGCAGAGGGACUGACUCAGCCCUGCUCCUGGGGGGGCACGGCCUCAGGCUCAUGGGUUCUCAUUUGCUGAUUCCCCACCAUAAUUCCAGCAUAGGACUUGCUGAGACACCCCAUUAGCUAAUCUAGACCUCUUCCAGCACAACUUAAAGCCAUUUCCUCUUCUUCUAUCUUGUAUUUGCAAGAAGAGACCCACCAUCUCACUUUGGGUGGUACAAACCCAUCUUUCAGACACAAAUACCCAGUAAUCUUGAGCUGACUUGUGCCCUCAGCCAGCCUUGUCCUGCCACUGCCUCCUCCUGGCAGCUGGGGAAGCCAGUGCUCCCCAACCCAUCCUCACCCCAUUUCAAAGAAGAUCCUCCAGGUCCAGACCAAAUAUCUUCAGAGCCUAGGCAGCUUUCGCUGGAGCCAAAGAUGCCAAAACCAGAGAGGGAUUUUAUUCUCAGCUUCUGUCCCACCUGGCUCUGCCUGUGGUGAGGCUGAUCCUGGAGCAGCAUCCAGGAGAGCUUGGCCAUUCUCAUUAAGGUGUGUGAGAAUGAAGCAGCCCCUGGCACAGAUUUGCUGCCAGGGAAAGGCUGGAUUCAGCAUCCACUGUGCCACAGUGAAAAAUCCUCUCUUUCCCUGGCACCAAUGGAGCCCCAAACAUCAUUUUCUAAUUCCCCCAGCACCAAGGUGAGCACAUGUAUGUGCUCAAGUGACCUGGCCAUGCAUCUCCCUUUCCUGAGGAUGAAAAUGAAGGGGAACCACCUUUUUUUUUUUGUAACAGAUAACCAGAGACUGAGAAGUACUCAAACCGUCACCCCACAACCUUUUGCUCUUGGAAUGGGGCCCCAAUCCAUUUCAUUUCCCUUUUCCCCCCUUCCAAACAAACGAAACAAUCCCCACAACCAAACAAAACCCCCAAACCCAAAACACAUGUUCCAUUUUCUAUAUAAUAAAACCGUGGUGCUCUUAAUAACUCCCUUAUUUGACAAUUUGUUUGGCAACAUAUGGAAAGCUCUCAUAAACUCCCCUUCAUAAUACAACGGCAGAUGGCAAACACAAUCCUCAACACGCCACUCUCUCCCUCCCUAAUGGGCUCAGAGGGCUCCUCACCCCACACCACAUCCCUCCAGCUCCACACCUUGCCUUCCCAGAGAUUACCCAGGCAGCUUCGAUGGCAGCUAUUUAAAAACUGAAGCAAUUUUCUGGUUUAUGCACAGAGCUGACUUUUCCCUUUUGAUUGAUUGAGCCGAGUUGUCAAGCAUUUCCAUGAAGUCGCUAAAAAAGAAAGGUACCCUGGUGGGCACGUAAAAACCUGAUGCAAAACUUCUAAUAUGUUUUAUUGUAA